rnacentral:ncRNA from 1 species
UAUGGCGCAUAAAAGCCAUAUUAGGUGAAAAGGGAAUCGGGUGAGAACCCCGGACGGUACUGCCGCUGUAUACAUCUGAUGCCGUAUGUCCGUUGACGAAAGUCAGUCAUUGGGAAACUGAGAAGGCAGGACAUAGGGUGCAGGGGAUUAUCUCUUGCAGGAUGUAAGUCAGAAGACCUGCAUU